AACGAACGCUGGCGGCAUGCCUAACACAUGCAAGUCGAACGAGACCUUCGGGUCUAGUGGCGCACGGGUGCGUAACGCGUGGGACCCUGCCCUUAGGUUCGGAAUAACUCCCCGACGGGGGUGCUAAUACCGGAAAAUGUCUUCGGACCCAAGAUUUAUCGCCUUUGGAGGGGCACGCGUUGGAUUAGCUAGUUGGUAGGGUAAAAGCCUACCAAGGCGACGAUCCAUAGCUGGUCUGAGAGGAUGAUCAGCCACACUGGGACUGAGACACGGCCCAGACUCCUACGGGAAGCAGCAGUGGGGAAUAUUGGACAAUGGGCGAAAGCCUGAUCCAGCUAUGCCGCGUGAGUGAUGAAGGCCGUAGGGUUGUAAAGCUCGUUUACCCGGGAUGAUAAUGACAGUACCGGGAGAAUAAGCUCCGGCUAACUCCGUG
rnacentral:rRNA from 1 species